GUGCGGAGGGGUCUCGUCUGCUGCUGUUUUCGCCGUCAUUCUGGCGAGUGAUCCAGCAAGCACUUCACGACGGUACGGUGGCGCGUCCGACUAGCGGAGAGCAAUUCACAGCUUUCGUUCUGUGUGUUACAUGCGCAAACACACGCGAUAUUAAGCUCAAUCGUUGUUUCGCACUCGCUAGUUGCACCUGGUCCCAUAGCAAACUGUGCGAGGGCGUCGGUUUAUGCACUACUCAAUAUUUCUCUGACAGGUGGCGCCACACGUCUUGGAAACUCCAGAGUCUGACGUCUAUAGAGAAGCGUAAAUUUACGUAUUCC
rnacentral:lncRNA from 1 species